GACGAACGAUGGCGGCGUGCCUAAUACAUGCAAGUCGAACGCAGUGGGGACGGGUGAGUAACACGUGGGUAACCUCCCAUCAGAGGGGAUAACACUUGGAAAAAGGUGCUAAACCGCUACUGAUGGAUGGACCCGCGGUGCAUGAGCUAGUUGGGGAGGUAACGGCUCACCAAGGCCACGAUGCAUAGCCGACCGGCGAGGUGGAGUGGCCACACUGGGACUGAGACACGGCCCAGACUCCUACGGGAGGCAGCAGUAGGGAAUCUUCGGCAAUGGACGAAAGUCUGACCGAGAAACGCCGCGUGAGUGAAGAAGGUUUUCGGAUCGUAAAACUCUGUUGUUAGAGAAGCGGUAUCUAACCAGAAAGCCACGGCUAACUACGUGCCAGCAGCCGCGGUAAUAC
rnacentral:rRNA from 1 species